GCGUCAGUAGGUUGGUCGUGCCACCGGUACGUACUGGUCUCACUGAUUCCUCCUUCCUGAAGAACCGUAAUGCCAUUAAUUUGGUGUUGCGGGGAAACAGGACUGUUCCUUUGAAAAAAUUAGAGUGUUUAAAGCAAGCUAACGCUUGAAUACAUUAGCAUGGAAUAAUGAAAUAGGACGAUCGAUCCUAUUUUGUUGGUUUCUAGGAUUGACGUA
rnacentral:rRNA from 1 species